GCUAAUACCGCAUAACGUCUACGGACCAAAGAGGGGGACCUUCGGGCCUCUCGCUUCAGGAUAUGCCCAGGUGGGAUUAGCUAGUUGGUGAGGUAAUGGCUCACCAAGGCGACGAUCCCUAGCUGGUCUGAGAGGAUGAUCAGCCACACUGGAACUGAGACACGGUCCAGACUCCUACGGGAGGCAGCAGUGGGGAAUAUUGCACAAUGGGCGCAAGCCUGAUGCAGCCAUGCCGCGUGUAUGAAGAAGGCCUUCGGGUUGUAAAGUACUUUCAGUCGUGAGGAAGGCGUUGGAGUUAAUAGCUUCAUCGUUUGACGUUAGCGACAGAAGAAGCACCGGCUAACUCCGUGCCAGCAGCCGCGGUAAUACGGAGGGUGCGAGCGUUAAUCGGAAUUACUGGGCGUAAAGCGCAUGCAGGUGGUUUGUUAAGUCAGAUGUGAAAGCCCGGGGCUCAACCUCGGAACCGCAUUUGAAACUGGCAGGCUAGAGUACUGUAGAGGGGGGUAGAAUUUCAGGUGUAGCGGUGAAAUGCGUAGGGAUCUGAAGGAAUACCAGUGGCGAAGGCGGCCCCCUGGA
rnacentral:rRNA from 1 species